UGAGGAACUUGCCCAUGAGCGGGGGACAACAUUCGGAAACGGAUGCUAAUACCCCAUAGGUGGAUUGGUCGCAUGACGAAUUCAUUAAAGGUGGCUUUGCUACCACUCAUGGAUAGCCUCGCGGCGUAUUAGCUAGUCGGUAAGGUAAUGGCUUACCAAGGCAGUGAUACGUAGCCGACUUGAGAGGGUGAUCGGCCACACUGGGACUGAGACACGGCCCAG
rnacentral:rRNA from 1 species